CUCUCUCAGAGGAGGCUGCAGUCUUCCCAGCAAGUUCUGCAGAGCGCCCCCUCCAACACCACUGUUCCAGGACAAGUCAAGGAUCUCCAGCAGAGGAGUGCAGCCGAGACCUUCACCUGCACAGGUACACAGCACAGCCUCACCCAGAGCGGCUACAUCCUCCCCGUCCAGCCUGCAGCCGCAGAGCCUCAGCGUCCUGACCCCGCUCACCAGCUGGAAGUGUGAGUCCGGCUCAUCCUCAGGGGUCCCGGUCCCGGUCCGCUCCGAGGUCCAGGACAAGAAGCGGCCCAGUGGCUUCCUGUCUGAGCGCUUCCUGCGGAUCUGACUCAUGAGGACAUCGAGGGGGGAGCGCCUCUGACCAGCUCCAUCUCUCCCCUGUGGAGAAUCUGACCAAACAGAGAUUUCUUUAAAACUGUGAUGUCAGAAGAGAUUUUACUGAUAAAAUAUAGUUUAUGGCUCAA